rnacentral:rRNA from 1 species
UACGUAGGGCGCAAGCGUUAUCCGGAAUUAUUGGGCGUAAAGAGCUCGUAGGCGGUUUGUCGCGUCUGCCGUGAAAGUCCGGGGGCUCAACUCCGGAUCUGCGGUGGGUACGGGCAGACUAGAGUGAUGUAGGGGGAGACUGGAAUUCCUGGUGUAGCGGUGAAAUGCGCAGAUAUCAGGAGGAACACCGGUGGCGAAGGCGGGUCUCUGGGCAUUAACUGACGCUGAGGAGCGAAAGCAUGGGGAGCGAACAGG